rnacentral:rRNA from 1 species
ACUGACCGCUAAGGCUAGAAAAGCGUGGGGGAGCAAACAAGGAUUAAAUACCCUGAUAUUCCACGCAGUAAACGAUGCCUUAUAGGGUGUCUGGGAUUAGAUUUCCUCGGUGCUGAAGUAAACACAGUAAGUAUGCCGCCUGGGGAGUACGCUCGCAAGAGUGAAACUCAAAGGAUUUGACGGGGACCCGCACAAGCAGUGGAGUAUGUGGUUUAAUUCGAAGCAACGCGAAGAACCUUACCAGGUCUUGACAUCUGGGUGUAAGCACUAGAGAUAGUGCCCCUCUUUGGAGCACCCAAGACAGGUGGUGCAUGGUUGUCGUCAGCUCGUGUCGUGAGAUGUUGGGUUAAGUCCCGCAACGAGCGCAACCCUUGAUUUUAGUUGCCAGCAUGUAAUGGUGGGCACUCUAAGAUGACUGCCGGUGACAAACCGGAGGAAGGUGGGGAUGACGUCAAAUCAUCAUGCCCCUUAUGACCUGGGUUACACACGUACUACAAUGGUCGGUACAACGGGAAGCGAAGCCGCGAGGUGGAGCCAAUCCUUAUAAGCCGAUCUCAGUUCGGAUUGCAGGCUGCAACUCGCCUGCAUGAAGUCGGAAUUGCUAGUAAUCGCGGAUCAGCGUGCCGCGGUGAAUACGUUCCCGGGUUUUGUACACACCGCCCGUCACACCACGAGAGUUUACAACACCCGAGGUCGGUGGGGUAACCCGCAAGGGAGCCAGCCGCUGAAGGUGGGGUAGAUGAUUGGGGUGAAGUCGUAACAAGGUAGCCGU